GAUCUUCUUCGGAAGAGAGCGGCGGACGGGUGAGUAACGCGUGGGUAACCUGCCUCAUACACAUGGAUAACAUACCGAAAGGUAUGCUAAUACAAGAUGAUAUAAGAGAUUCGCAUGGAUUUCUUAUCAAAGCUCCGGCGGUAUGAGAUGGACCCGCGUCUGAUUAGCUAGUUGGUAAGGUAACGGCUUACCAAGGCGACGAUCAGUAGCCGACCUGAGAGGGUGAUCGGCCACAUUGGAACUGAGACACGGUCCAAACUCCUACGGGAGGCAGCAGUGGGGAAUAUUGCACAAUGGGCGAAAGCCUGAUGCAGCAACGCCGCGUGAGCGAUGAAGGCCUUCGGGUCGUAAAGCUCUGUCCUCAAGGAAGAUAAUGACGGUACUUGAGGAGGAAGCCCCGGCUAACUACGUGCCAGCAGCCGCGGUAAUACGUAGGGGGCUAGCGUUAUCCGGAUUUACUGGGCGUAAAGGGUGCGUAGGUGGUUUCUUAAGUCAGGAGUGAAAGGCUACGGCUCAACCGUAGUAAGCUCUUGAAACUGGGAAACUUGAGUGCAGGAGAGGAAAGUGGAAUUCCUAGUGUAGCGGUGAAAUGCGUAGAUAUUAGGAGGAACACCAGUAGCGAAGGCGACUCUCUGGACUGUAACUGACGCUGAGGCACGAAAGCGUGGGGAGCAAACAGGAUUAGAUACCCUGGUAGUCCACGCCGUAAACGAUGAGUGCUAGGUGUUGGUGGGGACACCCAUCAGUGCCGCAGCUAACGCAUUAAGCACUCCGCCUGGGGAGUACGGUCGCAAGACUGAA
rnacentral:rRNA from 1 species